rnacentral:rRNA from 1 species
UAGGGAAUCUUCGGCAAUGGACGAAAGUCUGACCGAGCAACGCCGCGUGAGUGAAGAAGGUUCUCGGAUCGUAAAACUCUGUUGUUAGAGAAGAACAAGGACGUUAGUAACUGAACGUCCUCUGACGGUAUCUAACCAGAAAGCCACGGCUAACUACGUGCCAGCAGCCGCGGGAAUACGUAGGUGGCAAGCGUUGUCCGGAUUUUUUGGGCGUAAAGCGAGCGCAGGCGGUUUCUUAAGUCUGAUGUGAAAGCCCCCGGCUCAACCGGGGAGGGUCUUUGGAAACUGGGGGACGUGGGUGCAGGAGAGGGGAGUGGAAUUCCAUGUGUAGCGGUAAAAUGCGUAGAUAUAUGGAGAACAACCAGUAGCGAGGGCGGCUCUGUGGUCUGUAACUGACGCUGAGGCUGGAAAGCGUGGGGAGCAAACAGG